UACGUAGGGGGCUAGCGUUGUCCGGAUUUAUUGGGCGUAAAGAGCGUGUAGGCGGCCAGGUAGGUCUGCUGUGAAAACUCCAGGCUCAACCUGGAGACGCCACCUGAUACUGCUGUGGCUAGAGUCCGGUAGGGGAGCAUGGAAUUCCUGGUGUAGCGGUGAAAUGCGCAGAUAUCAGGAGGAACACCAGUGGCGAAGGCGGUGCUCUGGGCCGGAACUGACGCUGAGGAGCGAAAGCGUGGGGAGCAAACAGG
rnacentral:rRNA from 1 species